GGUUAAGUGACUAAGCGUACACGGUGGAUGCCUAGGCAGUCAGAGGCGAUGAAGGGCGUGCUAAUCUGCGAAAAGCGUCGGUAAGGUGAUAUGAACCGUUAUAACCGACGAUACCCGAAUGGGGAAACCCAGUGUGUUUCGACACACUAUCCUGUCAUGAAUACAUAGUGGCAGGAGGC
rnacentral:rRNA from 1 species